GGUUCUGUAUGUAGAUAAUCCAGAGAAAGUGUAAAGUCUCAUUUGAGAACUCUGAACAGUAUAAUGCUUCAUCCCUCGUCAGGCUCAACCACUGACCCAUUUCUCUCAAAACGGCGUCAACAGAAACUUCUACAACCUAACCAGUUCUCAUGUAAACCACCAUUAACCCUGCCAACCAUGCACGAAGUUCAAGGCUAUCAAGUAACUAAUAUCUAGAACACUGGUCUCGGUCUUGUUGGUCGCGUUUUGGAAAGCACGACGUCGACGGGGCGCGGUCCCGCGAACUUGGCUUGCGGAGGAACGUUCCACUCGCAUCUCAGGAUCGGGUGAACGCCUAGGAGAAGAAAGUGUCGAUUUCCCCCGAAACAAAAAUUACCGUCUCGCGAGCUGGUGUGCUUGCCUGUCCGUUUCGUAUCAGCACGCCACGGUCUCGCCGCCAAUCCGUUUCCAUCGUCGCAGAGAUUUCAGCCAGACGAGCGAUCUCUUUCCAGGGCUGGGGCUAA